rnacentral:lncRNA from 1 species
AUUUUUUGCUUUACAUUAAGUCCUGUGCUUAAUUUUCUUCAAAAUUUGUUGAAGUUUGUCAUACACACAAUGGCCAGUUAAAAUAUUUUAUUUCCCCUCUCUCUUUCAGAAAUGGAGAACAGUGACUGACUUGUGUGGCCAGUGGUACACAAUUAUGGCACAGUGGGAAGAAAGUAGCAGCAUGUGAGGGCAAUAAAAGUUUUUUUCAGAGAGAAGAAAUGGCAAGGGAGACAGAUUUUCAUUUUCCUCAGUCCCUUAAAUUAACACCUUUAAGCCGAAUUAUGCUGAAAAAUGAAAAUGUAUAUGUAUGAAGAGUGCACACUAACUUUUUCAAGAUAGACUGAUGUUCAAAGAAAACAAAGACAUGUGACAGAAGAUAGUACAACAAAAGCUAAAAACUGUGUCGAGAUGAUUUCAAUGUCACACACCAUACGAUGACAUUUUUUAGAUGCUGCAUACCAAUUCAGUUCCCAAUGAUGUGGAAUGUGGGAUGUCAUACCGGGAUGAUCACAGUUGAUAAUCUUGCACACAUUUUAAACUAUUCUUAUAAGACUCGAGCAGCUUUGAGUAAUCAACAGCAAGUGGAGGAGAGCCGUUUAUAAGUAAUAAAUGCAAUAUGAAGGGACUUGGCA